UCUGUUGUGUGGUUUGAUAGGAGUUGCAAUGACAAAAGGUUGCAGUAGUAUAUUGGGCAAAUAAGUUCAAAGGGGUGUAACUCCUGGAAAAAAAAUUGAAUCGUAAUUUCCUGUUGAUAUGCACAUCUACGUAGUAUGUCCUUAUUAUCUGAAAAGGUUUCAUGAAAUUCUGUUGUGUGGUUUGAGAGGAGUUGCGAUGACAAACUGUUGCAGUAGUACAUUAAAGUAAAUAAGUUCAAAGGGGCAUAACUCCUAGAAAAAGAAUUGAAUCGUAAUUUCCUGUUGAUAUGCACAUCUACGUAGUAUGUCCUUAUUAUCUGAAAAGGUUUCAUGAAAUUCUGUUGUGUGGUUUGAGAGGAGUUGCGAUGACAAAAGGUUGCAGUAGUAUAUUGGGCAAAUAAGUUCAAAGGGGCGUAACUCCUAGAAAAAAAAUUGAAUCGUAAUUUCCUGUCGAUAUGCACAUCUAUGUAGUAUGUCCUUAUUAUCUGAAAAGGUUUCAUGAAAUUCUGUUGUGUGGUUUGAGAGGAGUUGCGAUGACAAACUGUUGCAGUAGUACAUUAAAGUAAAUAAGUUCAAAGGGGAGUAACUCCUAGAAAAAGAUUUGAAUCGUAAUUUCCUGUCGAUAUGCACAACUACAUAGUAUGUCCUUAUUAUCUAAAAAGGUUUCGUGAAAUUCUGUUGUGUGGUUUGAGAGGAGUUGCGAUGACAAGAAACAGGACUGACGGACUGACGGACUGACGGACAGACAGACGGACAGACGGACGGACGGGUCAAAAACAUUAUACCCUCCGCAACUCGUUGCGUGGGGUAUAAAUAUAUA